rnacentral:rRNA from 1 species
UACGAAGGGUGCAAGCGUUACUCGGAAUUACUGGGCGUAAAGGGUGCGUAGGUGGUUCUUUAAGUCUGCUGUGAAAGCCCCGGGCUCAACCUGGGAAUGGCAGUGGAAACUAGGGGACUGGAAUCUGGCAGAGGGGGGUGGAAUGCCGCGUGUAGCAGUGAAAUGCGUAGAGAUGCGGAGGAACACCGAUGGCGAAGGCAGCCCCCUGGGCUAACACUGACGCUCAGGCACGAAAGCGUGGGGAGCAAACAGG